AAAGGCAGGGGAUCGAAGACGAUGAGCUACCGUCCCAGUCUUAACCGCAAACUAUGCCAACUAGCUACCGUCCCAGUCUUAACCAUAAAUUAUUAUUAUGGCGACGAGAGAUUGGAGGUCGAUCAAACACCAUCCUAGUCCUAAUCAUGAACCCUGCCAACCAGAAAUGGAGGUCGUUACCUGUUCGACUCCUUCGGCGCCUUAUGAGAAAUCAAAGUCUUUAAGC
rnacentral:ncRNA from 1 species